rnacentral:tRNA from 1 species
GCUGGAGUUGAGCAAUUGGUUGGCUCGCCAGACUGUAAAUCUGGUCCCUUACGGGCGUAUAGGUUCGAGUCCUAUCUCCAGCACCA